UUGAAAAGUAUUGAAUUUGAUUGAAUAAUAAAAUGAAAUACAACUUGUGUGAAAUUUUUCUUUAGUUGCCAGGGAAAUAAAUAAUUGUCAUUAUCAACAAUAAACACAUUUAAAAAUCUUUAAAGGAAACAUUGGUAAUAAAUUUGAAAUGCGCAAUUCUGUUGAUGAAGAAGAUUUUAAAGGAGAAUAUGAGGAAGAAAAACAUCAUCUAGAUUUGAAAUACAAAGGUGAAGUGAAUGAAAAAGGUGAAAGGCAUGGAUUUGGUGGAUCACAUUUUCCCAUUGGAGAUAUUUAUGUUGGCAAUUAUCGGCAAGGAUGUAGACAUGAACAUGGAGAAUACACUUUCAAAAAUGGUGCUAAAUAUGAAGGACACUGGCAGUAUGGUAAAAAACACGGCCGAGGAAUCUUCUGGUAUCCUGAUAACAGCUAUUAUGGAGGUGAAUGGGAAAAUGAUCUAAAGCAUGGCUUUGGUGUUUAUCAUUAUCCAAACAAAGAUAUUUAUUUAGGAUCAUGGAAAAAUAAUUUGAGACAUGGACUUGGCACUUAUGAAUUCAAUAAUUCACGUAUUAAAUUUAUUGGAAAUUGGGUUGAAGAUGAAAUGAUGGGUCCAGGGCAAUGGGUUUACCCAAAUUAUAGAUUUUACUGUUCUUGGUAUAAAAAUCAGCCCUUGGGUCGAGGUUGUUUUGUGUUUGACAACAAUUGUAUGCAACAUGGAUAUGUUAAGCACAUUGAGAAUUCAGGAUCUGAGGUAAACUCUGAAGAUGAAACAGCUACAGAAGAUAAUCUAGAUAGCAAGACAGCUUUAGAAUGGAAAAAAAUUUCAUUAAAAUUGAAAGCUCAAUUAAUUACGCCUUAUAAUCCAGAUUUGUUGCCUUCCGAACCUGUUCCACAUUUCAAUGAAAAAAUAAGAUCCGGCAGGCGUCUAACAAACAGGAAAUCGAGGAAGGAAUAAUAAAGUGACCUUCAAAGGAUAUUUAAAGAACAGUAUAGCAACGGCAUCUGCAAUAAAUAUACCCAGAGGAACAACAUCCAAUAUGGCGUCAAUGUGUGUGUGUAAUUAAUGAACAUGUAUUUAAUAUUCUUUUUUCUAUAUUUUAUUGUUUUGAUUUAUUUAUAUAAGUUCAUUUUAUUACCAAAGUUUGGUUUAUUUCACACUGUUUAAAAGGUGUUUGUUGAUUUUUUUAGUUAAAUUUAAUUUAUUUUUUAAUCUCAAAUCGUUAUAAAUCUUUCUUAAUUAUGUAUUAAUAUGGAGAAAAUUAUUACUGUUCAAGCAACAGCGAUAACUGAAUUGCUACCGAAUGUUGCUUGAGAGACGAUGAAAUGCAGUUUUCGAGAUUGGAAUUGAGGUUUUGAAAUAAAUCAGUAUAGAUAUUGAUGAUAAUGGUGAUUGAUGAUGAUGGA